GCGGGAGUAGCUCAGUUGGUAGAGCACUGGCCUUCCAAGCCGGUGGUCGCGGGUUCGAAUCCCGUCUCCCGCU
rnacentral:tRNA from 1 species